ACCGGGCAGUGCCGCGAAGCUACCAUCUGCUGGAUAAUGGCUGAACGCCUCUAAGUCAGAAUCCAUGCCAGAACGCGACGAUACCUCCCGCACGUACAGAUGGACACGAAUAGGCUUCGGCUUAGCGUCUUAGCAGGCGAUUCCUCCACUGCUCUCGAAGCGAGUAGUGGUAUUUCGCGAAUUGUAAUUUCAGCACGAGCGGGGUCAAAUCCUUUGCAGACGACUUAGAUGUGCGAAAGGGUCCUGUAAGCAGUAGAGUAGCCUU
rnacentral:ncRNA from 1 species